UUCAAACCUAUUGAAAUUUCACGUUCUACGCUCCUCUGCUCUGCUAACCUCUCUUCUCUCUCGUUCGCCUUCUCUACUGCUAUGCGGAGAUCCCCUCUCUCCCGUGGCCCUCUCAUCUCUCUACGCUGCUGCCCUCACGCCGUCUCAUCGGUCGCCCCCUUCUCUCAAGGCCUUUCUCUCUCACCAGCUGCUUUAGAUAGAGAAGAAACCUUCUUCAUGAAGGAAACCCAACAUGUUUUAGUUAUCUCUUUAUUACGAUUUUGCAUAUCAUUUUUCCUUUCGCCAUUGAUAUAUGGAACGCGAGCUCUCCAUCUCUCAGUCUGCAUUAAUUCAGUUCGUAUCAUUUUUAGUCUUGGUAUGGAUUUUUUGGUGUGCCCUUUUACCCAAAUUUUUCUGGUUAGUUAUCUCUCUAUUGCGAUUUUGCAUAUCAUUUUUCCUUGUACCAUUGAUAUAUGGAACACGAGCUCUCCAUCUCUUAGCCUGCAUUAAUUUAGUUUUUAUCAUUUUUAGGCUUGGUAGGGAUUUUUUUUGUGCCUUUUUACCUAAUUUUUUUUCUGAAUUCAAUCAUAAAAACAGAAGAACAAUGGUUCAGUUGGAUUUUAUUACUUUCUUUUAUCAUUGAUUCUGAAAGAAAACUUCACUAGAUGGUUAUAAAUGGGUUUCACUGCACAAUUUUUAUUGUUUGGAUCUAUAACUUGAAGAAGUUGCAAUGAAUACUGCUGAAUGCUCUAAUAGAAAAAAUAAUGCCUGACUUUCAAUUGAAAUUUUAAUACAAUUAUUUGGUUUUAUGUCAUGCUUUUAUUCUCUAUUUCACAAUGCAACAUUUUUUUUAUUUUUUAAAUUAAUUUGGGUUCAGUAUUCAUUUCCCUGUUGUGUGAUUUUUUUUGAUGGGAAUUUGAAUUUGGUGAUGACCAGGUAAAAUGCGUCCAUUGAUAAUUCAAUACCUUUAAAAAUGUUGAUAAUUCAAUACCUUUAAAUAUGUUGGUAAUACCAUUCAGCAACUAGAAAAGGAAUUAUUUGAAGCAUGAAACUCAGCAGCUGGAGUAGUUGGAGCUACUAGAAGAACACAAGAGCUGCUAAUGAUGAACAUUGAAGCCAACCGAAAGAUUGAGGUACUUAAUAGGGAACUCACAGAGAAAGAUCGAAUGAUGAAACUCCUAGCAAAGUUAGCCAAUGCUCUUUCAAGUAAAGAAUGUGACUCACAGAGAAAGCUACAAGCAUUUCGUGAUGAAAGCGCACAAAAACUACUUGCUUGUCAAGAAAAAAUAAACAAGAUGAAAUGUGAUGUAAUGAUGAUGAAAGAUAUUGAAGAAAACUUUUACCAGGGAGUGAAAGAACCAGUCGAGGAGUUAAAGGAGAAAGAAAGUGAAAUGCAAAGGUUGGAAGAGAUAAACAAUGUUCUUUUAAGAAAGGAAAGAAAGCAAAUGAUGAGCUACAAGCAGCUCAUAAAGCCGCAGUUGAGUAUUUUGAGAAGAAACCAAAUAAUAGUUCAUUUAUAGGUAUGAAGAGAAUGGGGGUCCUUGAUGAGCAGCCAUGUACUCGUGCUGUAAAAGCAAAGCUUCCAAAUGAAGAAUGGGAUUUGAGGGCAUCAGAGUUAUGCUCCUUAUGGGAAGAACGCACAAGAAACCCAUCUUGGCAUCCUUUCAAGACGGUUACUAUUGGAAGCAUGGACAGAGUGUGUAACUCUGAAUUUUGUGAAUUUUUUCAACUGCAUAUGAGUGAUGGUAGGUAUUACAAAAUGUCCACAUCUCCAUAUAUGCUUUCAACUGCGACAUAUUGACCUAUUAGAUGUGGGUUAACUUCCCAUAUGUGUAUCUUCUUAAAUGCUUGAUCUUAUUGAGACAUUAAUGAAUUCCUUUUAGUUUGUUUUAUAUCAUGCUUCUGAUUUCCUGGAAAAUUCUGGUGAUGGUGCAGGAGGUCAUCGAUGAAAAUGAUGACAAGUUGAGAGAACUCAGAGACGAAUAUGGGGAUGAAGUUUUCAAGGAUGUGGAGACGGCAAUGCUUCAACUCAAUGAAUACAAUCCAAGUGGAAAAUACCCUGUUCCUAUUCUCUGGAGUUUUAAAGAAGGAAGGCAGGCCACAUUGGAAGAAGUAAUUCAUCAUUUGGUGAAUCAAAUCAAGAACAAAAAGAGGAAGACAUGGCAUAGAUGGUAGUGUUUGUGAAGCGUAUUAACUGUUAGAUAUGUCAGGUUUUAUUUAUUGACCUAGAUUUUGGCCCUACACCUUGGAGAUGCUCAUUAUUUUUAAAACAACACAUGCUGUCAAAGAAUUAAAAGUUUAAUGUUAUCAAAUUACAUUUGAGGAAUCAGCUUGCCGGACAAAGUUCAGCAAAGAUGAAGGACUAUAACACACCAUACAGAGAAAAUAAACCAAUAUGAUGCAAGUGAACUUAUGCAGCAAGUUUUAGGAAACAAUUAGUUCCAGUUUAUCCAUGCUUUGUCUGUUGUCUGGAUAAUUGAGGAUUCAAGAUAUUCCAAUUUCAACUCAACGAACCACGGGUUUGGGUUGUUCUGCUGCAUCGCCUAUCUAUUUGAACUUGAGUAUCAAAUAAUGCACUCAAAUUCAACUGUUACUAAUAAAAAAUGAAAAUAAAAAGGACAUAUCAGAUGCCUUGAACAUGUAACAGCACUAACCAUCACUUACUUCGGGAAAUUUUCUUUUUUUUUAUAGUACUUUUAGUGGUAAUUUCUUUGUGACUUGGGCUGAGUAAAAUCUACUUUUUUGAAGUUGACAAUUCUUGGCAUGGCAUAAGCCUUAAAAGAAAGAACUAUGGGCACCUUUGUGCUUUCUUUUCUUUCCUUCUUAACACUUCCAUUCUCUAGCGAUUGAAUCAUGUGCAAAUACUUUGCUAUUUCAAAUACAUGGCUGGUAUUUCAUACUGAGUGGUGGAUUUAGCAUCAUCGUUUUUUAUGAUUUUCUCUGGUUGAACAGUGUAUGAGUUCUUUAGUACCCUGGUUUUAGGAACUAAUGACUGUGUAACGAUCAAUAUUCAAGUCAUUUUCUCUUGAUCAUUCAACAUGAAUCUUUGUGCAGUCUUCUCAAGCAGAAGUGAAUCAGCUCAUACCACCUAAUAGAGGUUUGUAGUUCUGAGCCUUUAAUUCUUUGAUACUUUAGACCGAAGCUUUGAAGAAUUAAAACUCAGAUAAAUAGUAUGUUAUGAAAGGAAAACCCACAAAGUUGUUUCUAAUUUAUAAUCACUGUGAAGAUGAAUUCUUUUUAUGGACAAUGUUAUAUGGCCCUUAAUCGAUCCAAACAAAAAAAGGUACUCCAAGCUGCAUCCACGGUGUGUUCCCACUACAGGAUGGUUGUUUAUCAACGUCCGUAGUUGAAUGUCCCUGUGGGCCCCUUGACUUCGAGUAUCAUGUACAAUAGUCCAAUAUCAGUGAUGUGCUUUCCCUUUUACUAUAUUUACUAAAAUGACUUAUUCCUCACCCUCGACGUGCAUUACUUAAAUUGCAACCUACAACCUGGAGUUUUAUACUGAUGUACAGGAUUUGUCUUAUUUGCAAUACCACCUUGAUCAAGAUCCACGCUCUGCCAAGUACAGGUUUGGUGCUUCCACAUCAGGCCUUAUUUCUCACUUUGCUUGAGCCAAAACUACCUCACUCCUCAUUUGCAGGAAAUUCACCAAAGAGCUAUGCGACAUUAUUGAAGAUUAUGGUCUGGUCAAUUUCACGACACUAGAUAUUCAGGUAUCUCAAAGAGUGUGUUUGUUGCUUCCAUUGAUGGUGCAAGCUCGGAGGCCGGUGAGCAAGCAAGAAGGAUAGUCUUGAUGUUCUUAGAGUGGCUUUCCCACCCUUUUGGUCUAAAAAAAUCAGCAAAGCAGCAACAAAACAAUGAGAUGGUGGCUCAAACAUCUCACAUAUGGAGAAUAAUCUGCCAUGGAAGUGCUGAUACAACACUUUGAGCCUCAUUUGCAAAAUUUGGGAAAGUUUGAUAGGCUUCAGAAUGUGAGCACCAAGACAAUCCUAAAGAUGAGAGCUUAGCUGAGAAAACAACUGCUCAGAGUUUGUUGUAGAGAGUGUCUAAGUCACUUGAAACCAGCUCAUCUGGAGAGAGCCUCAAGGACAUGAUUCUAGAGAGAGGGAUUACUGAAUUAGCUAUCGAGAAGUGUUGGACUUCCUUAUAUCUUUUUUCCUAUUUCAUGAGGUGUUUGACCUUAAGUGAUUUGUAAAUGAUUGUAAUUAGUCAUUGUUUAAUUAAUGGUAAUCCAAUGAUUUGUAAA